ensembl:lncRNA
AUGUUGCUCCUCGUAUUCCUGACAUUUUCUCUCCUAAAAGAGACUGCUGGUGAAGAUGUCAUAAAACCAGUCGUCACAGAGAAGCAUGUUUUGGAAGGAAAAGAUGUUACACUGAUCUGCAAAUACACUGAAACUGUUCAAAAUUUACAAUGGUAUCGUCAGUAUCCUGGAUCCAAACCUGAGCACCUCAUCACGUUCUAUGAGACCACUCCACAUAAAGACACCACUCUCCGUCUGAACGCUGCGGCUGAUAAAACAGCCAAAAAUAUGAAUUUGACGAUCUCUUCUACAGAAGUGACAGACUCUGCCAUGUACUACUGUGCCCUGCAGCCCACAUUGACAGGAAACACAACUACACUGUACAAAAACUGAGUGAGAAAUAUAUUUGCGGAAGAUGAUGAUGCACAAUGCAGUUUUCUGAACUGCACACUAAUCUGCUACAUGUUGGAAUACAUUUUAAAUGGAUGUAAAAGUGAUUGAGUGUCCCUUAAAUAUCAAGAUUAACUUUAACAUAGAGAUUAAAAGAUAGACUUGAAUCAAAAUUAUACUUGAAUCAUUUGACCUCUGUUACAGUGUCACUUCUUAUAUAAUAUCAUAAAUCAGAGUGCCCAAAUAUCAUUUUAGUAUGUAAACUACAGUUUAUUCAUAUACUGACUGUACUUGUAGGGUGAGAUGAGUGAGUAGACACUGUGUGGGAGGAGCUCCAUGUUUUGUCAAAUUCAGCAGAAGAGCUCAAGAGGUUUCAUCUCAGUUUAGUUCUUGACUCUUAAAGUCAUUGUCUCUCAUUAGUGCAGAUGUUGCUCUUCACAUUCAUUAUAUUUUCUCUUCUAAAAGGUGAGUGAUUUAUAACAAUUACUGUGUAAAUGCUUUUUUUCUCCUUUCUAUACUGUUGACAAUCUGAGUUAGCCCAUCAGAAAUGAUUUAUUAAAACAUUAUUUAAAACAGAAACUGCUGGUGAAGAUGUCAUAAAACCAGUCGUCACAGAGAAGCAUGUUUUGGAAGGAAAAGAUGUUACACUGAUCUGCAAAUACACUGAAACUGUCAAGAAUUUACAAUGGUAUCGUCAGUAUCCCGGAUCCAAACCUGAGAACCUCAUCACGUUCUAUGAGACCACUCCACAUAAAGAGACCACUCUCCGUCUGAACGCUGCGGCUGAUAAAACAGCCAAAAGUAUGAAUUUGACGAUCUCUUCUACAGAAGUGACAGACUCUGCCAUGUACUACUGUGCCCUGGUGCCCACAGUGACAGGAAACACAAGAACACUGUACAAAAAACGUUAGAAAUGAACUUCAAGAAGAAAAAGAAGAUCCUCAUUUUAAAAACUAUUUCUGUAACCAUUAGAAAGGAUUUGUGAACAAUACACAGUUAUAAAACUCUGGAGCAAAAGUAAUUAAACUAUAUUAUUUGAUAAAUAAAAAAGUUAAUUCACACAAUAAAGCAACUUACCAGCUCUGAAGAUGUUAGACAUCGUUAUAAACAUAUACCAGAAAGAUUACACCGUUUCAGUGCGUUCCAAACCUGUUUACAUACAAGACACAUCAUGUUUCUUCUAAAUACAGAAAAUGCUGUAUUCCCAGCAGAUGCCAACUUUACCAAGAAUUGACUAUGCUGUGUCCAUAUUCCCAGAAUAUCACCGUAUGCAGACUAUUAAAGGGAGAAGCUUUGUACCAAACUUUGCAUAAAGGAAGAACAUAAAGAACCUCUGAAGUAUGUGUAAAGCUAUGAAAGUACUAUAUGAGAACAAGUGGGUGGAGCUAGCUGUGGACAAAGUCACUGCAAACAAAAGAACGGCACAAUGCCUCCGAAGGAAGAGGACUUUCAGUGAUCUU